rnacentral:rRNA from 1 species
UACGUAGGGGGCAAGCGUUGUCCGGAUUUAUUGGGCGUAAAGCGCUCGCAGGUGGUUCGUCGCGUCGUGCGUGAAAGCCCCCGGCUCAACUGGGGGGUGUCGUGCGAUACGGGCGAACUGGAGGCCAGUAGGGGGAUGCGGAAUUCCGGGUGUAGCGGUGAAAUGCGCAGAUAUCAGGAGGAACACCGGUGGCGAAGGCGGGUCUCUGGGCCGAUACUGACGCUGAGGAGCGAAAGCGUGGGGAGCGAACAGG